rnacentral:snRNA from 1 species
UUGGGAGAUACCAUGAUCAUAAAGGUGGUUUUCCUAGGGCAGAGCUUAUCCAUUGCACUCCAUCUGUAGUUCUUUAGAUGCCUUGGUAAUAUCAACUAGGUGAGGCUAAAA